rnacentral:rRNA from 1 species
GCCCGGGAAAUUUUUUUGAGGCCGUAAAAGAGCUCGUAGGCGGUUUGUCGCGUCUGCCGUGAAAGUCCGGGGCUCAACUCCGGAUCUGCGGUGGGUACGGGCAGACUAGAGUGAUGUAGGGGAGACUGGAAUUCCUGGUGUAGCGGUGAAAUGCGCAGAUAUCAGGAGGAACACCGAUGGCGAAGGCAGGUCUCUGGGCAUUAACUGACGCUGAGGAGCGAAAGCAUGGGGAGCGAACAGGAUUAGAUACCCUGGUAGUCCAUGCCGUAAACGUUGGGCACUAGGUGUGGGGGACAUUCCACGUUUUCCGCGCCGUAGCUAACGCAUUAAGUGCCCCGCCUGGGGAGUACGGCCGCAAGGCUAAAACUCAAAGGAAUUGACGGGGGCCCGCACAAGCGGCGGAGCAUGCGGAUUAAUUCGAUGCAACGCGAAGAACCUUACCAAGGCUUGACAUGGACCGGACCGGGCUGGAAACAGUCCUUCCCCUUUGGGGCCGGUUCACAGGUGGUGCAUGGUUGUCGUCAGCUCGUGUCGUGAGAUGUUGGGUUAAGUCCCGCAACGAGCGCAACCCUCGUUCCAUGUUGCCAGCGCGUAAUGGCGGGGACUCAUGGGAGACUGCCGGGGUCAACUCGGAGGAAGGUGGGGACGACGUCAAAUCAUCAUGCCCCUUAUGUCUUGGGCUUCACGCAUGCUACAAUGGCCGGUACAAAGGGUUGCGAUACUGUGAGGUGGAGCUAAUCCCAAAAAGCCGGUCUCAGUUCGGAUUGGGGUCUGCAACUCGACCCCAUGAAGUCGGAGUCGCUAGUAAUCGCAGAUCAGCAACGCUGCGGUGAAUACGUUCCCGGGCCUUGUACACACUGCCCGUCAAGUCACGAAAGUUGGUAACACCCGAAGCCGGUGGGCUAACCCCUUGUGGGAGGAGCUGUCGAAGUGGGACUGGCGAUUGGGACUAAGUCGUACAAGGUAACCU